AUGGCUGGGGACUGCACACUGCAGACUGGGCAGGAGUGGACUCUGAAGUUGCAUCCUGGUAUGAAUACAAGCAAGAGUGAGACAGUGAAAGACCAUCCAUUAAAACCCUCUAGAAGAUCUAUGCCAUGCCUAGCCCAGAGCCAAACACAUCCUCAGAGUCUGAGCAAGCAUUCGUCAUUUCUGCAGCCAAAUCGGGUGCAGCCACAGCCCCGGCCUCAGCCUCUAAGUGCAGGGACAUCUACAGCUACAGUGGAUGUAGUGUCAGAACGAGCAAAAGUGAUGGAAACUUUGGAAAACAACUUGCUUAAGCUGUCUAAUACAGAAUACAGGGAUCCAUUUUCAGACAUAGGAAAGGACAAAGAUACGUACACAGAUGAUUCAGAACAUGGAAAUUAUGAUGCUCGUACAGAUCAGUCAUUGCUUAUUCAGAACAAGCUUACCAGACAGAAAACAGAACCUCGGACUAAAUCAUCUUUAAAGGUAGUGUAUUUUGCUAUGCGGCAAGGUAAAGAAAGGAUUUUUAGAACAAAGUUGACAUAUUAUCACUAUGGGUUCAGAAAUGCUGCCUAGACAGUAGCCUAGAUUACUGCCUUUUUCUGGUAUCCACUGAUAUUCACUAUAAUACUGCAUGUCUAGACUAG